UACGUAGGAUGCAAGCGUUGUCCGGAAUUAUUGGGCGUAAAGAGCGCGCAGGCGGUCUAUCAAGUCAGAUGUGAAAUAUCCGGGCUUAACCCGGAGGGGUCAUUUGAAACUGGUAGACUAGAGUACAGCAGAGGAUAGCGGAAUUCCCGGUGUAGUGGUGAAAUGCGUAGAUAUCGGGAGGAACACCAGUGGCGAAGGCGGCUAUCUGGGCUGAAACUGACGCUGAGGCGCGAAGGCUUGGAGGCAAACAGG
rnacentral:rRNA from 1 species